GUGGGGAAUAUUGCACAAUGGGGGAAACCCUGAUGCAGCGACGCCGCGUGAGUGAAGAAGUAUUUCGGUAUGUAAAGCUCUAUCAGCAGGGAAGAAAAUGACGGUACCUGACUAAGAAGCCCCGGCUAACUACGUGCCAGCAGCCGCGGUAAUACGUAGGGGGCAAGCGUUAUCCGGAUUUACUGGGUGUAAAGGGAGCGUAGGUGGUUCGGCAAGUCAGAUGUGAAAGCCCGGGGCUCAACCCCGGGACUGCAUUUGAAACUGUCGGGCUAGAGUGCAGGAGAGGUAAGUGGAAUUCCUAGUGUAGCGGUGAAAUGCGUAGAUAUUAGGAGGAACACCAGUGGCGAAGGCGGCUUACUGGACUGUAACUGACACUGAGGCUCGAAAGCGUGGGGAGCAAACAGG
rnacentral:rRNA from 1 species